rnacentral:tRNA from 1 species
CGGGAUGUAGCCUAGUGGCUAAGGCACUUGCUUUGGGAGCAAGGAACCGGCAGUUCGAAUCUGCCCAUCCCGA